rnacentral:piRNA from 1 species
UUAAUGAAAGGAUAUGCGCCUAGCAAAGUC